AGCAGCCGCGGUAAUUCCAGCUCCAAUAGCGUAUAUUAAAGUUGUUGCAGUUAAAAAGCUCGUAGUUGAAUUUCGGGAUCAAAUUGUUGGUCGUGCCUCGGUACGCACUGGUAUUAUUGGUUCCUACCUUCUGAAGAACCGCGAUGUCAUUAAUUUGGUGUCGUGGGGAAUCAGGACUGUUACUUUGAAAAAAUUAGAGUGUUUAAAGCAGGCUUACGCUUGAAUACAUUAGCAUGGAAUAAUGAAAUAGGACGUUUGAUUCUAUUUUGUUGGUUUCUAGGAUUGACGUAAUGAUUAAUAGGGAUAGUUGGGGGCAUUAGUAUUCAAUUGUCAGAGGUGAAAUUCUUGGAUUUAUUGAAGACUAACUACUGCGAAAGCAUUUGCCAAGGAUGUUUUCAUUAAUCAAGAACGAAAGUUAGGGGAUCGAAGACGAUCAGAUACCGUCGUAGUCUUAACCAUAAACUAUGCCGACUAGGGAUCGGAUGAUAUUAAUUUUUUAAUGACUCAUUCGGCGCCUUAC
rnacentral:misc_RNA from 1 species